UUUCCGCUAGGUGAACCUGCGGAAGGAUCAUUA
rnacentral:rRNA from 2 species